AAAAAAAAUGAAAUAGAAUCAUAAUUUUUAUUAUAGUAAGAAUAUUACAAUGUCUUUACAAGUAUCCAAUAAAAGGAAAAUUGCAAGGAAAUAAAAGAAAAUCCUAAAACUAAUCUUCUAGUAAUCUUUUCUUCUUUUUCUUCACUUUAUCCCUGCAAAAUGUAACAAAAUAAACAAAAAGACAAACAAACUAUUUAUAACAUGUCAAUAUUGUCAUUUUUAUGCAGAACUUGAUAUGAGCAUAUAUUUCCAGAAUUACAUGGUGUGAAUAUUGUAUGAGUAAGAUUAUAAUGGAAAUGAAUUUUGAUAGGAGCCCACUGUCGACGAGUAUUUAUCUGACAGAGCUAAAUAAUCAGGGCAUUUACCUUUUGAUAAUAUUAUUAUACUAUACUACCAGUAUACUACUCCACUUGAAUUUUUUAGAUGAGCAGAUCUGAGAUAGACAUCUUUUCAAGUGGUUAUAGGUAGGCUUGAAGAAUUCUCAUUGGUUUAAGUGGAUUUUUUAGAUGAGCAGAUCUGAGAUAGACAUCUGAACGUACUAGUCAGAUCCGAUCACAUUGAGCUAGAAAGAAAAUUCAUCAGGAAACUGAUGGCCGGCGACUUACUUCCAGACGUUGAGGAUCUUGUUGUGCCCGGCGAAGACGCUGUGGAGCGCGUCGCGGACGGACUGCU
rnacentral:lncRNA from 1 species